UUGCUGAAUGACAUUGUGGGAUGUCAGCUGGUUUUGUCUUCAGUGUUAGCCCCCUCGGUGAUGAGCCAGGGCAAUCAGAAGCCUGUUUGAACAGAGGAAAAGAAGAAUAUCAAAAGGCAGAUUGGAAUUGGUGUUCAAAUGAAUAGUGUGAAAUCUCAAAGUGAGAUUACCAGGGUAAUGAUGACACAGUCAUCUCAAAAAGAAGGCUGUUAUUUUAAGAAAUGGAUUUUCACCAAAGAAGAGAAAAGAGAAUAAAGAGAUCAGCACCACUGAAACUGUGACUGUCAGAUGAAAGGUUUUGGUGGAAAAUUGGAGGCUACUUUUGAAUAUUCAGUGGUGAGUGAACCCCCAUGAGUUCUUCAAAUUCCGUGAGAGAGCUGGGCAUUGACUAUACCUGCCACUGCCUGCUGCAUGGGAAUAUGUUUGCUUUUACUGAAAGAAAAGAAGACCAACAUUUUUGCUCCUUUUGAAGUUGCCCUCAGAGCAAAAUGCCACCUCCCACUUCACAAGCAGAACAUCCGAAAAGCAUCCCCCAUUGAUGUUAGUGAGGAAAGCACAUGCUGGUGACUAGAUGAGCUGUCUCAGACUGACACUUGUUUCUGCCUGCGAUUUAUUCCCUGUUUAUCCAGAGAGAUAUUCCAUAUCAGCAUUGAUGCCUCUUGUGUCUCACAUGGUACCUUCCUGCCCCACAACAAAGACAUCUCCACUGUAGCACACCAUUCCUGACAGGUGACACACCUGCCCAAAGAACGUGACCCAUCAUACUGCUGAGUGUCUGUGCAGAUUCCAAGGCUAGAAAAAAUAUGGGUAAGAACCUAAUUUAUUCUAAAGAAGGAAAUUCAUAUGUCUCGCCUGCUGCAAGUCUCUCUACCUCUUCAUGCCUCAGAUGUUGUUUGUCCUCUCUCCCCUGCAUACAUCCUACCCACAUCCUACUUUCCAGAGCAACACGGCAUAUUGCAAACAAAGCACAGGACCGGCAGGCUUAUUUCUGUGCAGCAGCGAAAGAGCUGAAUGUCUGCCCUUGCCUUCUCUGCAAGAAGAAAACACUUUCUGUGGAAAUCCCCCAGCCCUCAUAGACUAUCUUGUGUUGCAUUUGGUAGAUGAGAAGGAGGUUGUAGAUGUGUAACUCUAAAGAAAGGUAAACGAAAGGACGCUAGUUACAAAACCAUAAUGACUUCACUAUUUUAAUUGCAAACAUCUUGAUGAGGCGCUGACAGAAUUCAGGAAUCGGUUCUUCACCGCGUUUGCCAGCAGACUGUGUUGAACCCCGGCUAACUGCACGGGAAUGUGUGUGGUUUGGGCUUUUUUCUAUCGGAAGCGUGCAGCUGUGUGUCCCCUGACCUGCUGCAGGAGCGUGGCGGUUGCCAGGCCGUGGGCUGAGCAGUGCAGGGAACGGCACAGCUCAGCGUGAUGCGAGCUCGAGAAAGUGCUAAGUCUGCGUGCAUUUCUGCAGUCGAUGACUCUCACUUAUACAAAUAGAUGGAAUGUUUUGAACUUGUAGUCAUGAUCUCUCCAUUUUCAUUAUCUUGUUGCUGCCUGUGGAUUAUUGCUGCGGAUAUGUGUCUUUUGUAUCUUUGCCUAGUAGCAUGCCAGCAAGCACAUGGAUCUCAGCAAAUACAGAUGAAAAGAAGGUGUUGCAAAAAAUUAAAGCCUUCAUUUAUUACUGCUAUUGACAGUUUUUUUCAAUGUACAAAGUUAUUGUGCAAAAUCUGCAUUCUGAAAAACACUGCCAAGGAAG